rnacentral:rRNA from 1 species
UACGUAGGUGGCGAGCGUUAUCCGGAUUUACUGGGUGUAAAGGGCGUGUAGGCGGGAGAGCAAGUCAGAUGUGAAAACUACAGGCUUAACCUGUAGCCUGCAUUUGAAACUGUUCUUCUUGAGUGAUGGAGAGGCAGGCGGAAUUCCUAGUGUAGCGGUGAAAUGCGUAGAUAUUAGGAGGAACACCAGUGGCGAAGGCGGCUUACUGGACGAUGACUGACGCUGAGGCUCGAAAGUGUGGGUAUCAAACAGG